rnacentral:rRNA from 1 species
AGCCUUAGGAAAUUUUAUCUAAGGUUAAACCUGCCCAAUGUUUAAUUAUCAAUGGCCGCGGUACUUUGACCGUGCUAAGGUAGCGCAAUCAAUUGGCUUUUAAUUGAAGCCAUGUAUGAAUGGAAUUACGGGGUUAAGCUGUCUCCUAGCUACUUUAUUGAAAUUACUAUUUAGGUGAAAAAGCCUAAGAAGAGAAAAAAGACGAGAAGACCCUUAGAGUUUUUCCAAAACCAGAAACCGUUUCUGAGACAGUUUAGUUGGGGCAACAUAGGAACAAGAACAAUUUUAACCUCCUGAAAAACACCUACCGAUAUUAAUAAACAUGAAUAAACUACCUUAGGGAUAACAGCAUAAUUUUAUAAAUAAGUUUGUGACCUCGAUGUUGGACUAGGAAACUGAAAGGCUAGCCGCCUUUUAGGAAAGUUCUGUUCGAACUAUUAUUCCU